AGAAACAACCGAUGUUGGUUAAUACAUACGUACAACGUACGUACAUACCUACAUAGUUACUUACGUAUCUACGUGAGUACUUAAGCGCAUAAGAUAAAUGCGCAUGUGCGGAUGUAUAUAAGGCGCACUCAUACAUAGUACGCUGACGUACUUACGUUAUCGUAGUAAAUGCGAGCUGCAUGUCAUAGCUAGCUAGCUAACGCGCGCGCACCAACGUAAGUGUCGUUAGAUGUUGAAUAAUGCAUCUAGCGAACUCGCAUGACUGUCGGGAUUGAUAAUGAGUGGAACGAACGAACGAACGAACGAACGAACGAAUGAACGAACGAACGAACGAACGAACGAACGAAAAAAAAGGAUAAUAAAAGAAGAAGAAGAAGAAAGAAAAGCAAAAGAAAAGAAAAGACAGAGGAAAAAUAUAAGAAUGAUGCUAAAACGGAUUAUAUCUUAUCGAUAUAUAAUGAAUGACGUAAUCGGAGAUAAUACUUCGUUUUAUUGAUCUGAUCGGCACGGUUGUAUAGAAAAAUGUUUAAAGAAAGUUAUCGUUAUUAUCUUUCUAACGAUAAACUUUUUUGAGGAGAGAGAGAGAGAGAGAGAGAGAGAGAGAGAGAGAGAGAGAGAGAGAAGAAGAAAAAAAGAAAUACAUGUGACACUUUACCAUUUUUUUUGUUUUUGUUACGAUACUUCUCGAUAAUUUUGAUUUCCUUUAAUUUUUAAUUCUUCUUCUCUUUUCUUUUGUAAAUUUUACUUUUGCUCUGUUAAUAAUUUUGCUCUAUUAAUUAGUUUACCUUACGAUUAAUUCCUUUUUUUUUUUGGGAACUUUUAAUAUUCGAUAAUUUUUUAUUUUUUAAAAUGAAAAAAAGAAAAUAAAGGAAAGGAAAGAAGAAAUCGGACGAACCAUCGACGAAAAAGUUUCCAAAUUUUUCUAAUUAUUAUUAUAAUAUCUUGUAACGAGGAACGAACGAUUUUCUAUUCGAUUAGGUUGACGUUUAAUGGAAUAUUCGACAAUAUCGCGUCCGGAUAGAAUCCGGGGAUGAAUUGAGGGGUGAAUUUUCAACGUCCGGACGCAGAUACAUAGCUAUAAUUCCAUCCUAACUCUUGAACAUGAUUCUCUCGAACAUAUACGCGCGCAAAUCGUUCACAUAUACAAGGGCAAGGAUUAAAAUAGCUUCUUAUCAAUAUUUCACAGUGGAAUCUACUCGUUGAUUCUCGCAACGUCACUCUCUCGCUACGGCCUACUAUAAAAUAUUCAGAUGUGUGUGCGUGUAUAAGAGAAAGAGAGAGAGAGAGAGAGAGAGAAAGAGACAGAAAGAGAGAGAGAGAAAGUAAAAAAGAGAAACGAAAGACAAAUUUUUAAGGAUUAAAAAAUCGUUCUCCAUCUUUAAAACGAGAAACGAAGGAAACGAAGAAAACGAAAUUUCCAGUCCCGUUUGCUAUUAUUAUCAUCAUCAUCAUCUUUCGAAUAUUACUGCUGAAGAAGUCGACGUAUUUUCAAACGCAACUUGGGAAAUGUAAAAAUAGACUUACAACAAAAUGUACACGCUUAUAUUUAUACGCAUAGCUCUUUCUCUUUCUCUCUCUCUCUCUUUCUCUCUCUCUCUCUCUCUCUCUCUCUUUAUCUUUCUUUCUCUCUUUUUCUCUCUCUCUCUCUUUCUCUUUCUUUUUCUGUCUCUGUCUUUCUUCUUCGACGAGAUCGUGCAGGCAUGCAGAUAAAGUCGUCUAGGCAGACAAGGAUUAAUGUCUACCAUCGCCAUUUCUUUUAGCCACGUUCGUUUCUCUCUCUCUCUCUCUCUCUCUCUUUUUCUUUGUCUCUCCCUCUUUUUUUAACUAUCUUUACUUCUCUAUAUUUCUCGAUCCAUUUAUCUCGACUUUGAUCGUGUAUUAACGUGUCAUUUGGACACGUAACGUCGUCGAGCCAUCGCGAAUGUCUUCGAGAUAGAAAAGAAGAAAAAAAGAAAGAAAGAAAAAGACAAAGACGAAAAGAGAGAGAGAGAGAGAGAAAUCGGAUAUAAAUAAUGACACACAAAUAUGUAUACUUCAUUAAUAAACUUUAAUAACACGAA